UACGGGGGGGGGCAAGCGUUGUUCGGAAUUACGUGGCGUAAAGGGCUCGUAGGCGGCCAACUAAGUCAGACGUGAAAUCCCUCGGCUUAACCGGGGAACUGCGUCUGAUACUGGUUGGCUUGAAUCCGGGAGAGGGAUGUGGAAUUCCAGGUGUAGCGGUGAAAUGACGUAGAUAUCUGGAGGAACACCGGUGGCGAAGGCGGCAUCCUGGACCGGUAUUGACGCUGAGGAGCGAAAAGCCAGGGGAGCAAACGGG
rnacentral:rRNA from 1 species